GGCUAUGUUGGCCGGGCGACGGUUGUCCCGGUUUAAGCGUGUAGGUGUGUGUUCCAGGUAAAUCCGGUUCACUUUAACACUGAGGCGUGAUGACGAGGCACUACGGUGCUGAAGCAACAAAUGCCCUGCUUCCAGGAAAAGCCUCUAAGCAUCAGGUAACAUCAAAUCGUACCCCAAACCGACACAGGUGGUCAGGUAGAGAAUACCAAGGCGCUUGAGAGAACUCGGGUGAAGGAACUAGGCAAAAUGGUGCCGUAACUUCGGGAGAAGGCACGCUGACACGUAGGUGAAGUGAUUUACUCAUGGAGCUGAAGUCAGUCGAAGAUACCAGCUGGCUGCAACUGUUUAUUAAAAACACAGCACUGUGCAAACACGAAAGUGGACGUAUACGGUGUGACGCCUGCCCGGUGCCGGAAGGUUAAUUGAUGGGGUCAGCGCAAGCGAAGCUCCUGAUCGAAGCCCCGGUAAACGGCGGCCGUAACUAUAACGGUCCUAAGGUAGCGAAAUUCCUUGUCGGGUAAGUUCCGACCUGCACGAAUGGCGUAAUGAUGGCCAGGCUGUCUCCACCCGAGACUCAGUGAAAUUGAACUCGCUGUGAAGAUGCAGUGUACCCGCGGCAAGACGGAAAGACCCCGUGAACCUUUACUAUAGCUUGACACUGAACAUUGAGCCUUGAUGUGUAGGAUAGGUGGGAGGCUUUGAAGCGUGGACGCCAGUCUGCGUGGAGCCAACCUUGAAAUACCACCCUUUAAUGUUUGAUGUUCUAACGUGGACCCGUAAUCCGGGUUGCGGACAGUGUCUGGUGGGUAGUUUGACUGGGGCGGUCUCCUCCUAAAGAGUAACGGAGGAGCACGAAGGUUGGCUAAUCCUGGUCGGACAUCAGGAGGUUAGUGCAAUGGCAUAAGCCAGCUUGACUGCGAGCGUGACGGCGCGAGCAGGUGCGAAAGCAGGUCAUAGUGAUCCGGUGGUUCUGAAUGGAAGGGCCAUCGCUCAACGGAUAAAAGGUACUCCGGGGAUAACAGGCUGAUACCGCCCAAGAGUUCAUAUCGACGGCGGUGUUUGGCACCUCGAUGUCGGCUCAUCACAUCCUGGGGCUGAAGUAGGUCCCAAGGGUAUGGCUGUUCGCCAUUUAAAGUGGUACGCGAGCUGGGUUUAGAACGUCGUGAGACAGUUCGGUCCCUAUCUGCCGUGGGCGCUGGAGAACUGAGGGGGGCUGCUCCUAGUACGAGAGGACCGGAGUGGACGCAUCACUGGUGUUCGGGUUGUCAUGCCAAUGGCACUGCCCGGUAGCUAAAUGCGGAAGAGAUAAGUGCUGAAAGCAUCUAAGCACGAAACUUGCCCCGA
rnacentral:rRNA from 1 species